rfam:Homo sapiens chromosome 17, GRCh38 reference primary assembly.
GCCAGGCAUGGUGGCUCACGCCUGUAAUCCCAGCACUUUGGGAGGCUGAGACAGGUGGAUCAUCUGAGGUCAGGAGUUCGAGUCCAGCCUGACCAACAUGGUGAAACCCUGUCUCUA